GAGGAGCGAAAGCGUGGGACGAACAGGAUAGAUACCCUGUAGUCCACGCCGUAACCGUGGGCGCUAGUUGUGGGAACCUUCCACGGUUUCUGCGACGCAGCUAACGCAUUAAGCGCCCCGCCUGGGGAGUACGAUCGCAAGAUUAAAACUCAAAGGAAUUGACGGGGCCCCGCACAAGCAGCGGAGCAUGCGGCUUAAUUCGACGCAACGCGAAGAACCUUACCAAGGCUUGACAUAUACAGGAAUAUGGCAGAGAUGUCAUAGCGGUAAAACGUCUGUAUACAGGUGGUGCAUGGUUGUCGUCAGCUCGUGUCGUGAGAUGUUGGGUUAAGUCCCGCAACGAGCGCAACCCUCGUUCUGUGUUGCCAGCAUUUAGUUGGGGACUCACAGGAGACUGCCGGGGUUAACUCGGAGGAAGGUGGGGAUGACGUCAAAUCAUCAUGCCCCUUAUGUCUUGGGCUGCACGCAUGCUACAAUGGCUGGUACAAAGGGCUGCAAUACUGCAAAGUGGAGCGAAUCCCAAAAAGCCAG
rnacentral:rRNA from 1 species